GUCUAUGGUUACACCACCCUAAACACACCAGCCUCCUCUGAUCUUGGAAGCUAAGCAGGGCUAGACUGGUUGGUACUUAGUACCUAUAUGGGGAAAAGUCCUAUCUUAUAAAGU
rnacentral:rRNA from 1 species